AACGAACGCUGGCGGCAUGCCUAACACAUGCAAGUCGAACGCGUGUAGCGAUACACGAGUGGCGGACGGGUGAGUAACGCGUGGGAACCUGCCCAAUGGUAGGGAAUAACUGCGGGAAACUGCAGCUAAUACCCUAUGCUCCCUACGGGGGAAAGAUUCAUCGCCAUUGGGAGGGGCCCGCGUCGGAUUAGCUAGUUGGCGGGGUAAUGGCCCACCAAGGCUACGAUCCGUAGCUGGCUGAGAGGAUGAUCAGCCACACUGGGACUGAGAUACGGCCCAGACUCCUACGGGAGGCAGCAGUGGGGAAUAUUGGACAAGUGGGGAAACCCUGAUCCAGCAAUGCCGCGUGAGUGAAGAAGGCC
rnacentral:rRNA from 1 species